rnacentral:rRNA from 1 species
UAACAUGCAGUCGAACGGCAGCACGGACUUCGGUCUGGUGGCGAGUGGCGAACGGGUGAGUAAUGCGCCGGAACGUAUCCAGUAGAGGGGGAUAACGCAGCGAAAGCUGUGCUAAUACCGCAUACGCCCUGAGGGGGAAAGCAUGGGAUCUUCGGACCAUGCGUUAUUGGAGCGGCCGACGUCUGAUUAGCUAGUAGGUGAGGUAAAGGCUCACCUAGGCGAUGAUCAGUAGCUGGUCUGAGAGGAUGAUCAGCCACACUGGAACUGAGAGACGGUCCAGACUCCUACGGGAGGCAGCAGUGGGGAAUUUUGGACAAUGGGCGCAAGCCUGAUCCAGCCAUUCCGCGUGAGUGAAGAAGGCCUUCGGGUUGUAAAGCUCUUUCGGCAGGGAAGAAAAGGUUCUGGUUAAUAGCUGGAACUGCUGACGGUACCUGAAGAAGAAGCACCGGCUAACUACGUGCCAGCAGCCGCGGUAAUACGUAGGGUGCGAGCGUUAAUCGGAAUUACUGGGCGUAAAGGGUGCGCAGGCGGCUCUGUAAGUCUGACGUGAAAUCCCCGGGCUUAACCUGGGAACUGCGUUGGAAACUGUAGAGCUAGAGUGUAGCAGAGGGGGGUAGAAUUCCACGUGUAGCAGUGAAAUGCGUAGAGAUGUGGAGGAAUACCGAUGGCGAAGGCAGCCCCCUGGGUUAACACUGACGCUCAGGCACGAAAGCGUGGGUAGCAAACAGGAUUAGAUACCCUGGUAGUCCACGCCCUAAACGAUGUCAACUAGUUGUUGGGGAGGGAGACCUCCUUGGUAACGCAGCUAACGCGUGAAGUUGACCGCCUGGGGAGUACGGUCGCAAGAUUAAAACUCAAAGGAAUUGACGGGGGCCCGCACAAGCGGUGGAUUAUGUGGAUUAAUUCGAUGCAACGCGAAAAACCUUACCUACCCUUGACAUGUACGGAAGACUGCAGAGAUGUGGUUGUGCUUGAAAGAGAACCGUAACAC